UACGUAGGGCGCAAGCGUUGUCCGGAAUUAUUGGGCGUAAAGAGCUCGUAGGCGGUCUGUUGCGUCUGCCGUGAAAUCCCGAGGCUUAACCUCGGGCCUGCGGUGGAUACGGGCGGACUAGAGGUAGGUAGGGGAGAAUGGAAUUCCCGGUGUAGCGGUGAAAUGCGCAGAUAUCGGGAGGAACACCUGUGGCGAAAGCGGCUCACUGGACCAUUACUGACGCUGAUGCACGAAAGCUAGGGGAGCAAACAGG
rnacentral:rRNA from 1 species